AUCACUUGUAUCAUAUACAUUAUUACUAUCAAUUACAUUUCUUCAACACAAAUAUGGUUGUCACAACUGCGAGAUUAUUCUGGACCUUCGCCAAUGUUUACCUCACUCCGGGUGGCGGGCUUAGGUCCUUCCCAAUUGGCUUGUACGCCUCGUGGGGAACGAGGGUAUCGGGCCUUUACAUCAGUGUGGCACAUAAAAGGAGCACAAGGCAAAAAUUCAGCAGUUGUCCCGUGACUUUGACCUGUGUGCUCCCUUCCGCCAUGUGACCUCACCUGCUCUGCUGAAUCAUCUCUCUCCCUUCUGUUUGUACAUAUUUUAUUAUGUGUAUGUAUAGUGUAGUGUAGUACCUUUUGCAGUAAACCCUUUUGUGUUUCC